CUCGUAGUUGGAUUUCGGGCGUGGAGGUUCGGUCCGCCGUUUCGGUGUGCACUGUCUUUCUGCGUCUUUCUGUCGGGGACGCGCUUCUGGCCUUAAUUGGCUGGGACGUGGAUUCGACGAGGUUACUUUGAAAAAAUUAGAGUGUUCAAAGCAAGCUAAAGCUCUGAAUACAUUAGCAUGGAAUAACGCGAGAGGACUCGGUCCUUAUUUUGUUGGUCUUCAAGGAUGGAGUAAUGAUUAAGAGGGACAGUUGGGGGCAUUCGUAUUUCAUUGCUAGAGGUGAAAUUCUUGGANNUANGAAAGACGAACUUCUGCGAAAGCAUUUGCCAAGGAUGUUUUCAUUGAUCAAGAACGAAAGUUGGGGGCUCGAAGAUGAUCAGAUACCAUCCUAGUCUCAACCAUAAACGAUGCCGACUAGGGAUUGGCAGGUGUUACAUCGAUGACUCUGCCAGCACCUUAUGAGAAAUCAA
rnacentral:rRNA from 1 species